UUAUUAUGCUGUAACUUGCGUGUUUUGCGCUCUGGUCCCUCGAAGUAGAGGAGAUGACAGAAACAUUGGAAGCUGGUGAGAGAGCGUUCACAAAAUUAAUCCCGGGAAUUGACGUGUUUGCUAAUUUUGCAAUGUUGCGUAGCUUAGCUGAGCAUUCGUUCGAGUUUGGAAGAACGAGAGGAGAUCUGAAUGAAUAAAUAUCAGAAUUUUAGUGGGCCUGAAAGGAUACGAGAAAGGGAGGAUUUACAGCCAGAAAUCUCAAAACAAGAUCUGAUAGAGACAAUCAAUUCAUUGGCACGGGAAUAUCAUCGGCCUUUGAAUCUAGUAGAAUCUUUUUAUUUCUCUCCUGUCCUGUCUGCUUCACAAGGUUUCAAACAUCAGUGAGACUGAGGUAUGCAUACCUGAGUGAGAGUGUUCCAAUGAACUGACCGUGGGAAGAGCCUUAAGAGGGUACACAGCCUGAAAUAGCAACACCCCAUUUGCAGCAGCAAUAGAUGGAACACGUUCCAUACAUGAGUGGUCUUUCAACCAAUUGUCAAAGCUGGAGAGAGACAAGGAUUCCCACAUCAUGGAGAAAUCGUGAGAGCAAAGCAAUAUCUUCGCCCUUUCUAUUCCUCAUCCUGGGAGGGAGAGAGAGAGGGAGGAAACACUAUUCACUUGUAGCAACUGAAGUGAAUCCAGGGAGGGAGCAGACUCUGCAAAGGUGUCAGAUGCUCUCUGUCCUUCUUAAUGGAAGACAUGUAGAAAGAAAUCUGAAAGCAAAUGAUACAUCAACUUCUGACAGAGCCACUUGAUUCAUUGGGACUUGAAUAUCAGCAACCAUUCCAAUUGAGAAGAAAUGUUUGCUUUUGUUUGCUUGAGAGAUUUUGGACACUUUGGCGGGAAGAAUACGGAGACACCCAAGUGAGGGAGAUUCAGUGCACUGACUGUGAAAAGUGCUUGAAACCUGUUACUCAGUUUGGGGAAUCAAAGUUUCACCCCUCACGGUGGAGAGAGACUGUGUACCCAUUCUGUUGGUAAUUUCAAACCCAGAGCGACACAAGGAAAGCUCUCCCCAUGGGGAAACUGUGGAAAUGAGGGGACUGUGGGAAAGGGUUCCCUUCCCCGUCAGUGCUGGUGACUCAUAGAAGCAUUCACACAGGGGAGAGACCAUUCUCCUGCUCUGUGUGUGGGAAGGGAUUCAGUUGGCUGUGCAACCAGCUGAUGCACUGGCAUGUUCACACCGGGGAGAAGCCAUUCACUUCCUCCAAGUACAGGAAUACAUUCGUCAAUUCUCCUGGCCUGCUGAAAUAUCCUUGGAUCCGCACUGGGGAGAGGCCGUUCACCUACUGUCACUGCAGGAAGAGGUUCAUGAGUUCAUCCACCCUGCAGACAUACCAGUGGGUCCACACUGGGAGAGGCUGUUCUCCUGCCCUGAGUGCAGGAAGGGAUUUAGUUGGGUGGACAACUUCUGGAGGCACGAGUGAGUUCAUGUGCCAUCACUGGGAUCGAAGGAGCAAUGGCCGAGUGGUAUUAUCAACUGGAUUACUACC